GACUUCGUGGUCGAGUGGUAAGGACACUUGCUUCUUAUCCUAGAGUGUGGGUUCGAUUCCCGGUCGAGGAACA